rnacentral:rRNA from 1 species
AUUGAACGCUGGCGGCAUGCCUUACACAUGCAAGUCGAAUGGCAGCACGGGUGCUUGCACCUGGUGGCGAGUGGCGAACGGGUGAGUAAUACAUCGGAACAUGUCCUGUAGUGGGGGAUAGCCCGGCGAAAGCCGGAUUAAUACCGCAUACGAUCUACGGAUGAAAGCGGGGGACCUUCGGGCCUCGCGCUAUAGGGUUGGCCGAUGGCUGAUUAGCUAGUUGGUGGGGUAAAGGCCUACCAAGGCGACGAUCAGUAGCUGGUCUGAGAGGACGACCAGCCACACUGGGACUGAGGCACGGCCCAGACUCCUACGGGAGGCAGCAGUGGGGAAUUUUGGACAAUGGGCGAAAGCCUGAUCCAGCAAUGCCGCGUGUGUGAAGAAGGCCUUCGGGUUGUAAAGCACUUUUGUCCGGAAAGAAAUCCUUGGCUCUAAUACAGUCGGGGGAUGACGGUACCGGAAGAAUAAGCACCGGCUAACUACGUG